AGGACUAUUCGCAUUGCAACUGAAUAAAAAUGGUAUACAUUUUUAUGUUAAGUCACAUUCGUUGAAUGAUCCAUAUUUACCUAUUACAGACGACUUACUAACUAAAGGGUGAUUCAUUUAGAGGUACAUUUUUCAAAAAAAAAA
rnacentral:lncRNA from 1 species